GCAUAACGCGAAGAACCUUACCUGGCCUUGACAUCCAUGGAAUCCCGAAGAGAUUUGGGAGUGCCGCAAGGAACCAUGAGACAGGUGCUGCAUGGCUGUCGUCAGCUCGUGUCGUGAGAUGUUGGGUUAAGUCCCGCAACGAGCGCAACCCUUGUCCUUAGUUGCCAUCAUUAAGUUGGGAACUCUAAGGAGACCGCCGGUGACAAACCGGAGGAAGGUGGGGAUGACGUCAAGUCAUCAUGGCCUUUAUGGCCAGGGCUACACACGUGCUACAAUGGCAGGUACAGAGGGAAGCCAACCAGCAAUGGGGAGCCAAUCCCAGAAAGCCUGUCUUAGUCCGGAUUGCAGUCUGCAACUCGACUGCAUGAAGUUGGAAUCGCUAGUAAUCGCAGAUCAGCAUUGCUGCGGUGAAUACGUUCCCGGGUCUUGUACACACC
rnacentral:rRNA from 1 species